rnacentral:tRNA from 1 species
GACGACGUGGCGAAAUGGGAACGCCGUGGUCUGCAAAAUCACUAGGAGUCGGUUCGAUUCCGGUCGUCGUGU